UAAAACUCGUUGGUUCUUGGCUUCUUGUAUAGAUUAUUUAAAGCACUACUAGUUUGGUUUUUGGGUCUAUGAUGGUAAUUUGCAUGUUAUUGACACUGAUAAGUAUCUAUGUUUGUGUCUGCAAAUAUAUCACUUAAAUAUUCUAUAAUGAUUUUAACAAGUCAUUCAACUUCUAAGAUCUUUCAAUAAAUGUCUCUUAGAAAAUUUAAAAGAAAAAGGUCUCAUGAGAGGCACUUUUAUUCCUCUCUUCUGCUUGGUUGUAAAUAAUUGACGGAGAGAUCGUGAUGUGAUGGUUUUUAUUAUUUUGUGG
rnacentral:misc_RNA from 1 species